rnacentral:rRNA from 1 species
UGGGGAAUAUUGGACAAUGGGCGCAAGCCUGAUCCAGCCAUGCCGCGUGAGUGAUGAAGGCCCUAGGGUUGUAAAGCUCUUUCACCGGUGAAGAUAAUGACGGUAACCGGAGAAGAAGCCCCGGCUAACUUCGUGCCAGCAGCCGCGGUAAUACGAAGGGGGCUAGCGUUGUUCGGAAUUACUGGGCGUAAAGCGCACGUAGGCGGACAUUUAAGUCAGGGGUGAAAUCCCGGGGCUCAACCCCGGAACUGCCUUUGAUACUGGGUGUCUAGAGUUCGAGAGAGGUGAGUGGAAUUCCGAGUGUAGAGGUGAAAUUCGUAGAUAUUCGGAGGAACACCAGUGGCGAAGGCGGCUCACUGGCUCGAUACUGACGCUGAGGUGCGAAAGCGUGGGGAGCAAAGCAGGAUUAGAUACCCUGGUAGUCCACGCCGUAAACGAUGGAAGCCAGCUGUCGGCAAGUUUACUUGUCGGUGGCGCAGCUAACGCAUUAAGCUUCCCGCCUGGGGAGUACGGUCGCAAGAUUAAAACUCAAAUGAAUUGACGGGGUCAUAGCUGUUUCCUG